UCAAGUUCUUAUACCGAAAUGCCACAAACUACUGCAUUAUGACCUUUGUAAAGUAUUUCCACGUAAAAUCGUACCGCAAGCUCAUAAAAUAUAAAAUCAAUAUGCAUUGCUUGUUCCGAACUACAUGACUUUCCAUCGGUCCGAUUACGUCAAGGGUAAAGUCUCUCAUUCAAUAAAGCUUAAUACGUCCUUAGAUUGUGAAAUGAAACAUACUAGCUCAACUGAAAUAUCAAUGCCUAUAUUAUGACUAAUAAAAUCCGGAAGGUUUGGUUUAUAUCAGCUCUGCAGACUUUGCUCAAACUCUUUGGGGCUAUGAUGAUGUGAUAAUGCAAGAUGAAAAAACAACACAAUUGCUGGAUAGGACAGACUGGAAUUUCAGAGUCCAUUUGUUUUAUGAGAGUACAAAUGUACAAACAAACAAAAUUGUACCAAACUGUGCUCAGCCAGUUCAGUGUUUUUCAACCUCGUCUUUAAAAAAUCGUGUUCACGAUUGUUAUGUUACAACUAUUAAGUGUCUCAGCAAAGCUUUAAGUACAAUGAUCAUAACAAUUGAGCAGUCGAAUGUUUAGUAACGGCAUGACCCUAGAUG